rnacentral:rRNA from 1 species
AACCAGGGCUUCGGCCCUGGGGACAGCGGCGAACGGGUGCGUAACACGUGAGCAACCUGCCCCGAAGACCGGGACAAGCCGGGGAAACCUGGUCUAAUACCGGAUGUCCUCGAAUGAUCGCAUGGUCGAUCGAGGAAAUGGAUUCCGCUUCGGGAUGGGCUCGCGGUCUAUCAGCUUGUUGGUGGGGUAACGGCCUACCAAGGCGACGACGGAUAGCUGGUCUGAGAGGACGAUCAGCCACACUGGGACUGAGACACGGCCCAGACUCCUACGGGAGGCAGCAGUGGGGAAUCUUGCGCAAUGGGGGAAACCCUGAUGCAGCGACGCCGCGUGCGGGAUGAAGGCCUUCGGG